rnacentral:lncRNA from 1 species
UUUUUUUGCAGGGAAGAAGAGAUAGCAGAUAAUUAACAACAAUGAAUUCCACCACAGAAGUAGGCAUUUUUUUGAAUUUUUAAAUUAGAUAUAAUGAAAGCUUUUUUCUUCUCCCACUUCAGAAACUUCUUCUUUCAGAAGAGCAAAGAGUAGACUAUGUCCAAGUGGAUGAGCAGAAGACCCAGGCUCUCCAGAGCACUAAACAGGAGUGGACAGAUGAGAGGCAAUCCAAAGUGUGAGAGAUCCUCUUUGUUUUCUUUUCGGUGCAGGAUGGAGGAGAAGGCUGUCAAGCCUUCAAGUCAGGAAGGUCACCACCCAGGAAUGCUGGGAGCUAAGCUUUCCCUGGAAAGAGAGGAGCCCUCAGACCCAGCAUACAACCCAUUUAUGAAAGCAGAAUGCAGUCCCCUCUGAGUCAUUGUAUGGGCCACUUUUCCCUGGAGCACAAAUGGGCUUCAUCCUUGCAACUAAGUCCAGGCUGAGGGCUCCUCUCAGGACUGUCCUUCUCUUCUUAAUGAUGUGCUCAACCUCCAUUUAUGUAAUCUCUGUACUCACUGACAUACUGAUUUUUCACAUUCACUUUUCUCUCACUGUUUCAUUUUUGGCAUUAAUAAAAGUCUUAUAAGAAGGAAUCAUUACUUAAGUUCUCUCUUAUUUAAGCAAUGACAUCCAGUAUAAAUGAACACACUUACAAAGCUGAGUGUUUGAAAAUAGGCUUCAUUACUGCUUUCAAGGACAGCAAAUCUAACUGGACACGUGUGUAUGAUGGUCCUGCGAGUGUUAAUUUACUACAGUUAAACUG